rnacentral:rRNA from 1 species
GAUGAACGCUAGCGGCAGGCCUAAUACAUGCAAGUCGGACGGGAUCCAUUGAUAGCUUGCUAUCAAUGGUGAGAGUGGCGCACGGGUGCGUAACGCGUGAGCAACCUGCCUCCAUCAGGGGGAUAGCCUCUCGAAAGAGAGAUUAACACCGCAUAAUAUCAACAGUUCGCAUGUUCAGUUGAUUAAAUAUUUAUAGGAUGGAGAUGGGCUCGCGUGACAUUAGCUAGUUGGUAGGGUAACGGCUUACCAAGGCGACGAUGUCUAGGGGCUCUGAGAGGAGAAUCCCCAACACUGGUACUGAGACACGGACCAGACUCCUACGGGAGGCAGCAGUAAGGAAUAUUGGUCAAUGGGCGGAAGCCUGAACCAGCCAUGCCGCGUGCAGGAUGACUGCCCUAUGGGUUGUAAACUGCUUUUGUCCAGGAAUAAACCUAAAUACGAGUAUUUAGCUGAAUGUACUGGAAGAAUAAGGAUCGGCUAACUCCGUG